AUACGGAGGGAUCGAACGUUAAUCGGAAUUACUGGGCGUAAAGCGCACGUAGGUGGUUUAUUAAGUGGGAUGUGAAAGCCCCGGGCUCAACCUGGGAACUGCAUUCCAAACUGGUGAACUAGAGUACGAUAGAGGGGGGUAGAAUUCAGAGUGUAGCGGUGAAAUGCGUAGAUAUUCUGAGGAAUACCGGUGGCGAAGGCGGCCCCCUGGAUUGAUACUGACACUGAGGUGCGAAAGCGUGGGGAGCAAACAGGAUUAGAAACCCCGGUAGUCC
rnacentral:rRNA from 1 species